UAUACGACUCUCGGCAACGGAUAUCUCGGCUCUCGCAUCGAUGAAAAACGUAACGAAAUGCGAUACUUGGUGUGAAUUGCAAAAUCCCGUGAACCAUCGAGUCUUUGAACGCAAUUUGCGCCCCAGGCCUUUCGGUUGAGGGCACCCCUGCCUGGGCGUCACCC
rnacentral:rRNA from 1 species